CGCCGGCCAUUCUCCCUGCUAAAUAUCACUACCAUCGUUGCUAAGGCCUUAGGUAACACACACCAGCCAUUCUCCCUGCUAAAUAUCACUACCAUCGUUGCUAAGGCCUUAGGUAACACACACCGGCCAUUCUCCCUGCUAAAUAUCACUACCAUCGUUGCUAAGGCCUUAGGUAACACACACCAGCCAUUCUCCCUGCUAAAUAUCACUACCAUCGUUGCUAAGGCCUUAGGUAACACACACCAGCCAUUCUCCCUGCUAAAUAUCACUACCAUCGUUGCUAAGGCCUUAGGUAACACACACCAGCCAUUCUCCCUGCUAAAUAUCACUACCAUCGUUGCUAAGGCCUUAGGUAACACACACCAGCCAUUCUCCCUGCUAAAUAUCACUACCAUCGUUGCUAAGGCCUUAGGUAACACACACCAGCCAUUCUCCCUGCUAAAUAUCACUACCAUCGUUGCUAAGGCCUUAGGUAACACACACCGGCCAUUCUCCCUGCUAAAUAUCACUACCAUCAUUGCUAAGGCCUUAGGUAACACACACCAGCCAUUCUCCCUGCUAAAUAUCACUACCAUCGUUGCUAAGGCCUUAGGUAACACACACCAGCCAUUCUCCCUGCUAAAUAUCACUACCAUCAUUGCUAAGGCCUUAGGUAACACACGCUGGCCAUUCUCCCUGCUAAAUAUCACUACCAUCGUUGCUAAGGCCUUAGGUAACACACGCCGGCCAUUCUCCCUGCUAAAUAUCACUACC